UGGGGAAUAUUGCACAAUGGGGGAAACCCUGAUGCAGCCAUGCCGCGUGUGUGAAGAAGGCCUUCGGGUUGUAAAGCACUUUCAGUAGUAAGGAAAGGUAAGUGAUUAAUACUCGCUUACUGUGACGUUAGCUACAGAAGAAGCACCGGCUAACUCCGUGCCAGCAGCCGCGGUAAUACGGAGGGUGCAAGCGUUAAUCGGAAUAACUGGGCGUAAAGCGCACGCAGGCGGUUUGUUAAGCCAGAUGUGAAAGCCCGGGGCUCAACCUCGGAACUGCAUUUGGAACUGGCAGACUAGAGUCUUGUAGAGGGGGGUAGAAUUUCCAGUGUAGCGGUGAAAUGCGUAGAGAUUGGAAGGAAUACCAGUGGCGAAGGCGGCCCCCUGGACAAAGACUGACGCUCAGGUGCGAAAGCGUGGGGAGCAAACAGG
rnacentral:rRNA from 1 species